AGAGUUUGAUCCUGGCUCAGAACGUACGCUGGCGGCACGCCUAACACAUGCAAGUCGAACGAAGUAGCAAUACUUAGUGGCAGACGGGUGAGUAACAUGUGGGUAUCUACCCUUUGGCCUGGAAUAACACGAGGAAACUUGUGCUAAUACCGGAUAAGUCUUUACGGAGAAAGCUUUAUGCACCAUUGGAUGAGCCCGCACUUGAUUAGUUUGUUGGUAGGGUAAUGGCCUACCAAGACUAUGAUCAAUAGCUGAUUUGAGAGGAUGAUCAGCCACAUUGGGACUGAGACACGGCCCAAACUCCUACGGGAGGCAGCAGUGGGGAAUCUUGCACAAUGGAGGAAACUCUGAUGCAGCGAUGCCGCGUGAGUGAAGAAGGCCUUUGGGUUGUAAAGCUCUUUCGUCGGGGAAGAAAAUGACUGUACCCGAAUAAGAAGGUCCGGCUAACUUCGUGCCAGCAGCCGCGGUAAUACGAAGGGACCUAGCGUAGUUCGGAAUUACUGGGCUUAAAGAGUUCGUAGGUGGUUGAAAAAGUUGGUGGUGAAAUCCCAGAGCUUAACUCUGGAACUGCCAUCAAAACUUUUCAGCUAGAGUAUGAUAGAGGAAAGCAGAAUUUCUAGUGUAGAGGUGAAAUUCGUAGAUAUUAGAAAGAAUACCAAUUGCGAAGGCAGCUUUCUGGAUCAUUACUGACACUGAGGAACGAAAGCAUGGGUAGCGAAGAGGAUUAGAUACCCUCGUAGUCCAUGCCGUAAACGAUGUGUG
rnacentral:rRNA from 1 species